GGGAGCCUGAACUAGGGCGGACCUAAGUCAAAGGCAAGUGAAGGUGGCAGCGACCGCGGCGGCUGCAGCAGGCCACCAUGGCAGAGCUUCAGGAGGUGCAGAUCACUGAGGAGAAGCCACUGUUGCCAGGACAGACGCCUGAGGCUGCCAAGGAGGCUGAGUUAGCUGCCCGAAUCCUCCUGGACCAGGGACAGACUCAUUCUGUGGAGACACCUUAUGGCUCCGUCACUUUUACCGUGUAUGGCACCCCCAAACCCAAACGUCCAGCGAUAUUCACCUACCAUGAUGUAGGACUCAACUAUAAAUCUUGCUUCCAGCCACUGUUUCAGUUCGGGGAUAUGCAAGAGAUCAUACAGAACUUCGUGCGGGUCCAUGUGGAUGCCCCUGGAAUGGAAGAGGGGGCACCUGUGUUUCCUCUGGGGUACCAGUACCCAUCUCUGGACCAGCUUGCAGACAUGAUUCCUUGCAUCCUGCAGUACUUAAAUUUCUCUACGAUAAUUGGAGUUGGCGUUGGAGCUGGAGCAUACAUUCUGUCACGAUACGCUCUGAACCACCCGGACACCGUUGAAGGUCUUGUUCUCAUCAACAUUGAUCCCAACGCCAAGGGCUGGAUGGAUUGGGCAGCCCACAAGUUAACCGGCCUUACGUCUUCCAUUCCGGAGAUGAUUCUUGGGCACCUUUUCAGCCAGGAAGAGCUUUCUGGAAAUUCUGAAUUGAUACAGAAGUAUAGAAGUCUCAUCACACACGCGCCCAACCUGGAGAACAUCGAACUGUAUUGGAACAGUUACAACAACCGCCGAGACCUGAACUUUGAGCGAGGUGGUGAGAUGACCCUCAAGUGCCCCGUGA
rnacentral:lncRNA from 1 species